ACGGGUGCGUAACGCGUGGGAAUCUGCCCUUAGGUUCGGAAUAACAGCUGGAAACGGCUGCUAAUACCGGAUGAUAUCGCGAGAUCAAAGAUUUAUCGCCUGAGGAUGAGCCCGCGUUGGGUUAGGUAGUUGGUGGGUAAAGGCCUACCAAGCCGACGAUCCAUAGCUGGUCUGAGAGGAUGAUCAGCCACACUGGGACUGAGACACGGCCCAGACUCCUACGGGAGGCAGCAGUGGGGAAUAUUGGACAAUGGGCGCAAGCCUGAUCCAGCAAUGCCGCGUGAGUGAUGAAGGCCCUAGGGUUGUAAAGCUCUUUUACCCGGGAAGAUAAUGACUGUACCGGGAGAAUAAGCCCCGGCUAACUCCGUGCCAGCAGCCGCGGUAAUACGGAGGGGGCUAGCGUUGUUCGGAAUUACUGGGCGUAAAGCGCACGUAGGCGGCUUUGUAAGUCAGAGGUGAAAGCCUGGAGCUCAACUCCAGAACUGCCUUUGAGACUGCAUCGCUUGAAUCCAGGAGAGGUCAGUGGAAUUCCGAGUGUAGAGGUGAAAUUCGUAGA
rnacentral:rRNA from 1 species